GGAGUAUUGUUACAACAAUGGGAAAAUGCUGUAGCUGUAGGAGAGAGAGAGAAGGAAAUAUCCACCAGGGAAUCUUGGACUGCUUGGACACAUUUCGAGUAAAUAAACACUGAGCCGAAUACCCGUUUGGCCAAGAAAUGAACUGCCGAACCAACAUUUCGUGACCAUUUCUUUUUCUGCAGGGAGCAGAGUGAGAGCAUCUAUUUCUGGGAAGCCAAGUGUCAGCACAGCUUAAACAGCCCUCGUGAGAAAUUCAACAGUUGAGAGCAGGUUGCUUUUCUUUCCAAUGUGGUGUGAAUAGAGCUCUUCCCUGCUUGCUCGAAGAAGCAAACACUGUCCAAAAUAAAAAAUAUGGACAAGAUGUGAUACGUACCCCUCACCGCUGAAUGCAAACUGGUAUCAUAAGGGAGGUCUCAGGUUCACCUUGAGAGGAGAAUCAUUUUUACCGUCUCUUCUCCCCGGACAAGCAAAUCGUUCUGGAAGAAUUCGGAGGCUCGCCUUGUUUGUAACUUUUACCUAUGAGCAAGACCCAGUAGACAUAACAGAAUUUAUUCC